UACGUAGGGUGCGAGCGUUAAUCGGAAUUACUGGGCGUAAAGCGUGCGCAGGCGGUUGUGUAAGACAGGCGUGAAAUCCCCGGGCUCAACCUGGGAACUGCGCUUGUGACUGACCGGCUAGAGUAAGGCAGAGGGGGGUGGAAUUCCACGUGUAGCAGUGAAAUGCGUAGAGAUGUGGAGGAACACCGAUGGCGAAGGAAGUCCCCGGGGCCGAUAAUGACGCUAAUGCACGAAAGCGUGGGUAGCAAACAGG
rnacentral:rRNA from 1 species